CAAUAAGCUAAAUAAGGGCGUAUGGGGAAUGCCUAGGCUCUCAGAGGCGAUGAAGGACGUGAUAAGCUGCGAAAAGUUGCGGGGAUUGGCACAUACAAAUUGAUCCGCAAAUAUCCGAAUGGGGCAACCCACUAUAUUGAAGAUAUAGUAUCCUUAGGGAGGUAAACCCGGAGAACUGAAACAUCUAAGUACCCGGAGGAGAAGAAAACAAAAGUGAUUCCGUAAGUAGCGGCGAGCGAACGCGGAUUAGCCCAAACCAGUAAUGUUACGGCAUUGCUGGGGUUGUAGGACCACGAUAUUCAGACCAUGAUGAAUUAGAACACUUUGGAAAGAGUGACCAUAGAGGGUGAUAGUCCCGUAUAGGUAAAGAUUGGCGCGAUAGUGGUAUCCUGAGUAGUGCGGGGCACGUGAAACCCUGUGUGAAUUUGGCGGGACCAUCCGUUAAGGCUAAAUACUCCUGAGAGACCGAUAGUGAACUAGUACCGUGAGGGAAAGGUGAAAAGAACCCUGAAUAAGGGAGUGAAAUAGAUCCUGAAACCAUACGCUUACAAGCGGUCGGAGCACGUUUACGUGUGACGGCGUGCCUUUUGCAUAAUGAGCCUACGAGUUACCGUUGCUAGCAAGGUUAAGUGAUUAAGUCACGGAUCCGUAGCGAAAGCGAGUCUGAAUAGGGCGCUUUAGUUAGUAGUGGUAGACGCGAAACCGUGUGAUCUACCCAUGGGCAGGUUGAAGCUGUAGUAACAUACAGUGGAGGACCGAACCGGUUGACGUUGAAAAGUCUUCGGAUGACCUGUGGGUAGGGGUGAAAGGCCAAUCAAACUCGGAAAUAGCUCGUACUCCCCGAAAUGCAUUUAGGUGCAGCGUUGAUUUAUAGUUUUAUAGAGGUAGAGCUACUGAUUGGAUGCGGGGGCUUCACCGCCUACCAAUUCCUGACAAACUCCGAAUGCUAUAAAAUGUUGAUCAGCAGUGAGGGCAUGGGUGCUAAGGUCCAUGUCCGAGAGGGAAAGAACCCAGACCAUCAGCUAAGGUCCCCAAAUAUAUGUUAAGUUGAAAAAACGCGGUUGAACUGCUUUGACAGCUAGGAUGUUGGCUUGGAAGCAGCCAUUCAUUUAAAGAGUGCGUAACAGCUCACUAGUCGAGCGGUUCGGCAUGGAUAAUAAUCGGGCAUAAACAUAUUACCGAAGCUAUGGAUUUAUAAUUUAUUAUAACUGGUAGGGGAGCAUUCUAUAGGUGUAGAAGGUGUACUGUGAGGUAUGCUGGAACGUAUAGAAAAGAAAAUGUAGGCAUAAGUAACGAUAAUGCGGGCGAGAAACCCGCACUCCGAAAGACUAAGGUUUCCUCAGCUAUGCUAAUCAGCUGAGGGUUAGUCGGGACCUAACGCGAACCCGAAAGGGGUAGUGGAUGGACAACAGGUUAAUAUUCCUGUACCUGCUCACACUAAAAGUGACGGAGGCGAAAAGUUAGUGCGUACUGACGGAAUAGUACGUUGAAGCGAGUGGUAACACCGCGAUAGUACACUGAGACUACGGUCAAGGUGAUAAUCUAGCAAAUCGACUUCCAAGAAAAGCAAGUGAAGCAGCCCGUACCCUAAACCGACACAGGUAGUUGGGAUGAGAAUUCUAAGGAGCUCGAGAGAUUCAUGGUUAAGGAACUAGGCAAAAUAGACCCGUAACUUCGGGAGAAGGGUCGCCCCACUUCGGUGGGGCCGCAGUGAAAAGGUCCAGGCGACUGUUUAUCAAAAACACAGGGCUAUGCUAAAUUGAAAGAUGACGUAUAUGGCCUGACACCUGCCCGGUGCUGGAAGGUUAAGUGGUGGGCUUAGAGGUUUACCUCGAAGGUCUAAAAUGAAGCCCCAGUAAACGGCGGCCGUAACUAUAACGGUCCUAAGGUAGCGAAAUUCCUUGUCGGGUAAGUUCCGACCUGCACGAAUGGUGCAACGAUCUGGACACUGUCUCAACCAUGAGCUCGGUGAAAUUGUAGUAUCGGUGAAGAUGCCGAUUACCCGCUGUGGGACGAAAAGACCCCGUGCACCUUUACUAUAGCUUAGUAUUGGUUUUGGAUAAGUAAUGUGUAGGAUAGGUGGGAGACUUUGAAGCGGCAUCGCUAGGUGUUGUGGAGUCAUUGUUGAAAUACCACCCUUUGCUUAUCUAGAGUCUAACCUUCAUUCGAAGGGACAGUGCUUGGUGGGUAGUUUGACUGGGGUGGUCGCCUCCAAAAGAGUAACGGAGGCUUCUAAAGGUUCCCUCAGUACGGUUGGUAAUCGUACGUAGAGUGCAAUGGCAUAAGGGAGCUUGACUGAGAGACCUACAAGUCGAUCAGGUACGAAAGUAGAGCAUAGUGAUCCGGUGGUUCCGUAUGGAAGGGCCAUCGCUCAAAGGAUAAAAGGUACGCCGGGGAUAACAGGCUGAUCUCCCCCAAGAGCUCAUAUCGACGGGGGGGUUUGGCACCUCGAUGUCGGCUCGUCACAUCCUGGGGCUGGAGAAGGUCCCAAGGGUUGGGCUGUUCGCCCAUUAAAGUGGCACGCGAGCUGGGUUCAGAACGUCGUGAGACAGUUCGGUCUCUAUCUACAGUGGGCGUUAGAAAUUUGAGUGGAUCUGACUCUAGUACGAGAGGACCGAGUUGGACCAACCUCUGGUGUAUCUGUUGUUCCGCCAGGAGCAUUGCAGAGUAGCUACGUUGGGAAGGGAUAAGCGCUGAAAGCAUAUAAGCGCGAAACCCACCACAAGAUGAGAUUUCUUUAAAGGGUCGUGGGAGAUGACCACGUUGAUAGGCUAUAGGUGUAAAGGCAGUAAUGUCAUAGCCGAGUAGUACUAAUAACCCAUAGGCUUAUUGUACGCCUGUUUUUUU
rnacentral:rRNA from 1 species